rnacentral:rRNA from 1 species
GAUGAACGCUGGCGGCGUGCUUAACACAUGCAAGUCGAACGGAGAAAAGAAGCUUGCUUCUUUUCUUAGUGGCGGACGGGUGAGUAACGCGUGGGUAACCUGCCCUAUGCAGGGGGAUAACGUUGGGAAACCAACGCUAAUACCGCAUAAAACAAAGAGCUUGAAUGAGCUUUUUGUCAAGGAUUUAUCGGCAUAGGAUGGACCCGCGUUGGAUUAGCUAGGUGGUGAGAUAACAGCCCACCAAGGCGACGAUCCAUAGCCGGCCUGAGAGGGUGAACGGCCACAUUGGGACUGAGACACGGCCCAAACUCCUACGGGAGGCAGCAGUGGGGAAUAUUUCACAAUGGGCGCAAGCCUGAUGCAGCGACGCCGCGUGAAGGAUGAAGGUUUUCGGAUCGUAAACUUCUAUCAGCAGGGAGGAACCAAAUGACGGUACCUGACUAAGAAGCCCCGGCUAACUACGUGCCAGCAGCCGCCGUAA